rnacentral:rRNA from 1 species
UACGUAGGGUGCGAGCGUUAAUCGGAAUUACUGGGCGUAAAGCGUGCGCAGGCGGUUUUGUAAGCCAGAUGUGAAAUCCCCGGGCUUAACCUGGGAAUGGCAUUUGGGACUGCAAGGCUUGGAGUGCGGCAGAGGAGACUGGAAUUCCUGGUGUAGCAGUGAAAUGCGUAGAUAUCAGGAGGAAUACCGAUGGCGAAGGCAGGUCUCUGGGCUGACACUGACGCUCAUGCACGAAAGCGUGGGGAGCAAA